GUCCCAGCCGUAAACGAUGGACGCUAGGUGUGGGGGAACAUCCCUCCGUGCCGAAGCCAACGCAUUAAAGCGUCCCGCCUGGGGAGUACGGCCGCAAGGCUAAAACUCAAAGGAAUUGACGGGGGCCCGCACAAGCAGCGGAGCAUGUGGCUUAAUUCGAAGCAACGCGAAGAACCUUACCAGGGCUUGACAUACCGGUGAAGCCGGAGAGAUCCGGUGGCCGAGAGGAGCCGAUACAGGUGGUGCAUGGCUGUCGU
rnacentral:rRNA from 1 species